UGGCGUGCUAGCGUGUAGCGUGGUUGGUGAUAGGUUACAGUGCUGUCUGUAUGUGUAGCCACCCGUCUGUCAGUCAGGGAGUCGCUUUCGUUGUACUAGCAUCUUUGUACAUGGUAUCAGUAGGUUUGGUUGGAUCCGUGGUGGUGGUCGGCUGGCGGCGCUGGAUUCGCCGGUGCCGAGACCUGGUUUCUGGAAUGUCGCCGGUGCCGAGACCUGGUUUCUGGAAUGCCAUCAACCUUUUUUUAAAAGUCUUGCUUUUUCGAUGAAGGGCGCCAUUUAUCGAUUCAUAAUGUAGCAUCGAGCCAUACAAUCACAAUGAGUAUACACCCGGCCUCUGCAUAAGUACGAUGCAUAUAGCCAACACACACGAUCACGUCGGCACACAGCAAAGUCAUACAAGACCGAAGCUAUGCUAGGUGAAGGGGAAAAAAGAAAGCAAAGCAAAGAAAACAAGAAAAAAGAAAGCAAAGCAAAGAAAACAACAAUUGAUGAUAUACAACAGUGGCCAUCGGCAUCAACCAUUUAUUGACAGCAGAAAGACUACGAAACAGGUUCUCGAAAAGUCUCUUGACAGCAUAAAGACUACAAAAAAGGUUCUUGAAAGGCAAUGUCUUCAGGAAGGAAACGACACACGAACGCCGCCGUUGCUAGAUCCAACCUCCGAAGGCCAGAUCCUGGGUUUUCACCCCGAAGAGCAAGUCCGAGCAUACUCUAAUAAUGCCCUCAUCAGGGUAACGACACAAAGAACGACAUCAUUGUCAGGUAUAACCAACAAGGGCCAGACCUAGGGUUUUCACCCCGGAGCCUGAGACCAGGUACUCGAGAAGUACCACCCAAUCGAGUCAUCCUAUGUUGUCUCCUCCACUUGCCACGAUCCCAAUAGCUGCAUAGGCGCACGGGCUGACGCGAGCAAAGGUCAUGCUCGCACGAUCAAGCUGAUGAGCCGUGUCAAGAGCUGCUCGCCACAACAUAACGAAGUCAUUAACGACGAGGAAGGGCACUGGCAUCGCCAAAAUCCUAAGUUUGGGACGCUUUGGAGGCCUCGCAUCAUCGUCAAAAGUGGCAGCCGGUGGUUGAUCUGCAUCAGAAGACACACCACCGUGCGCUGCCACUAGCUUCGCUAUCCCCUGCCUGCCGUAGCAGAUCACAUCGAGGGAAAGGACAUGACGGUCGUCAUGCAUCGACCACGAGUCAUCAGGUCGUCCAAUUUGACCGACCCGACUCGUCACCAACCCAUGAUGCCGCCGUCGGGACAAUGCCAGCCUGAAGUUAGCACGAACCCAAUCCAAGGCCGCUGGGCACAAGCGAAAGGCACCCACGAGCAGCAACCCUCGCCUGGGCGUGUUCCCCAUGUUGAAACAGGCUGCAUCUCUUGUGCACUUUUCCUGCCUUCAACGAGGCCGCUGCCCAACCAGGAUAGAGCUGCAUCCGCAUGGUAUGCCAGCAACGAGGCCGCCGCCCACGUCCACGAUCUGUCGUUGCUGCUACAAUUUCCAACCUUCAUGACGUCUGGUGACUGCUCGUACCUCAUCAAAUGCCCGCCUAAAACGCCACGGGAACAGACCCUGCCGCCACCGGCGGCCGCACGGGCAAGCCCGCCGGUGCCGACCGGCGACGGCAAGGGAUGGGCGCACGGAACGAAGGCCGAAAAAGUGGAUCGCGGGGCCUCCCGAGUCGACCAGGCGGAUGACGCGGGGGCGAUUUUCAUCACUCACUUGAGAUUGUUCCUUAAAAGUCUUGCUAAGUCUCACUGAUGCUAUUCAUUCUGUGCAUUUAAAAACCGAACUGAACAACCAUACCGAAAAUAAACCGAACCUAACCAAUUUUACGGUUUCUGGUUUCGGUAUGGUAUGAACUUUUCAUACCGAUUUGAACUUUGGUUUUUAUGGUAUAUACAGAAAAACCAAACGGUUAACCGAAUAAAUCAAAGUAAAAAAAUAAAUUUAUAUUUCUUGAGAUGAACAACCAUACAAGUUGUCAUUAUUCUUGUACAUGAGUCAAAUACCAAGCACGUAAAAUUUUCUUGUAACAUAGUUAUUUUUCUCUUUUUAAAAUGCUAAGCACAUCCAUAACCAUCAAUAGAUGAAUCAAUGCAUGCAUAUAUAUAUAUAUAUAUAUAUAUAUAUAUAUAUAUAUAUAUAUAUAUAUAUAUAGACACACACACACACACUAUUUGUGUAAAAUAGUAUGUGUUUUGAGUCAUAAAUUUUCAAAUUAUUAUUACGUCAUUUUUAAAUUCGCGUCAACUUUGAUUAUUAUGGUAUAUAUCGAAACCAUACCAAAAAAAUUUGGUAUAUACCGAAACCGAACCGUAUUAUAAUUUCAUACCGUAAUUAUCGAAGUAUUAACACCGUACAAACCAAAAAACCAUAAACCGAACGCACAAGUGAGAUGCUAUAUUCGUGAGAUCUUAUAAUAGGAUCCGUACAAAAUUUCUUUUUCAGUUUUUUCUUUUCCUCUUUUGCAUAUAGUGUCACCGAGACUUGGUUAAAUCCAGCUACACCUUUUUUUUAA
rnacentral:lncRNA from 1 species